UCAGAUUUUUGAAUCUGGCUCAGGAUGAACGCUGGCGGCGUGCAUAACACAUGCAAGUCGAGCGAUCUCUUCGGAGAGAGCGGCGGACGGGUGAGUAACGCGUGGGUAACCUGCCCUGUACACACGGAUAACAUACCGAAAGGUAUUCUAAUACGGGAUAACAUAYGAAAGUCGCAUGGCUUUUGUAUCAAAGCUCCGGCGGUACAGGAUGGACCCGCGUCUGAUUAGCUAGUUGGUAAGGUAAUGGCUUACCAAGGCAACGAUCAGUAGCCGACCUGAGAGGGUGAUCGGCCACACUGGAACUGAGACACGGUCCAGACUCCUACGGGAGGCAGCAGUGGGGAAUAUUGCACAAUGGGCGAAAGCCUGAUGCAGCAACGCCGCGUGAGCGAUGAAGGCCUUCGGGUCGUAAAGCUCUGUCCUCAAGGAAGAUAAUGACGGUACUUGAGGAGGAAGCCCCGGCUAACUACGUGCCAGCAGCCGCGGUAAUACGUAGGGGGCUAGCGUUAUCCGGAAUUACUGGGCGUAAAGGGUGCGUAGGUGGUUUUUUAAGUCAGAAGUGAAAGGCUACGGCUCAACCGUAGUAAGCUUUUGAAACUAGAGAACUUGAGUGCAGGAGAGGAGAGUAGAAUUCCUAGUGUAGCGGUGAAAUGCGUAGAUAUUAGGAGGAAUACCAGUAGCGAAGGCGGCUCUCUGGACUGUAACUGACACUGAGGCACGAAAGCGUGGGGAGCAAACAGGAUUAGAUACCCUGGUAGUCCACGCCGUAAACGAAGGGUACUAGGUGUCGGGGGUUACCCCCCUCGGUGCCGCAGCCCCCAACGGCCCAUUUU
rnacentral:rRNA from 1 species